UACAUGCUUAUGAACUGUGCAAGGGUCUCCUGAAGAGCUGGAGUAGUAGUAGGCAUAUUAGGUGAUUUUGCUCCGACUGGAGCUACUGGUGGUUCCUUUGUAGUAGCAGCUCGCUCGGGUGCUCUAGUUGUACCACGUAGGCAUCCUCGGUCUCUACCUCGGCCCCGGCCUCAGGCGGCUCUAGCAGGGGGCGCCGGUGCCUGGUCAUCUCCGGAUGCACGUGUCUUCAUCAUCUGUGAGAGAAUAAAAGAUAGAAGUUUAGAAUUUCGACGUCAAUAAUCUCGCACGACAAGGAAUCUAAUGAAGUAGAAUUUUCCUAACAAUUCCAUAACCUCCAGAAGAUAAGUGCAGACGUCUCCGUAGCAAUCCGCGAGACUCUAAUAAACUGGCUUGUAACUCACGACUCCUAUGAACCUAAAGCUCUAAUACAAACUUGUCAUGACCCAAUUUCUCCCUCUCUGAGUUUGUUAUGACAACACCUAGUAUCUACGACUAGGUAAGCCUAACUCUUUGCUGAAAUGAAAUAAAAGCAUGAACAUUAACUACUAAUAUUAACAAAUAUCGAAUAAACAACUGAAUGUCAUUUGACAUAUACAAUUAUCACCUCUAAAAUGUACCAACCAAUUCCCAAAACCCGAAAUAUUGUAAGUCACAAGCUAUUAAAAAGUCUUAAUUGUUCUAUACAUCAUUCCUACAAAAAGAAGGAAAAAUGAUCAUGGGGAUAGAGGGGGGCUCUGAGGAUCUGCGGGCACGGGCAUAUAUACCUUGAAAUCUCCAAUAAGCAGCAGCAACUGCAACUAGUGAUAAGGCUGGUAAGAUGAACCUGGAUCUGCACACGAAAAACAUGUACAAAAAAGGGCGAGUACUCCACAACGGUACUCAGUAAGUGUCAAGCCUAUCCUCGAUCGAGUAGUGACGAGAUCAAGUCAGGGCCCUACUGAUAUAUAUCACAAGCCUAU
rnacentral:lncRNA from 1 species